AUGCCAGUUACUUUGGCACUGAAAGGACUAAGAAUCCCGAGGCAGAAGUUGGUUCUGUUGAUUCAGGGUAGGUUUUGCCUUUGUGAGCUGGUGGAAAGUGUACAAGUGGAUUUUAAUUUAUUUAUUCAUCCAUUCAACAAGCAUUUAUUUAGCACCUACUGUGUUGUUAUUGUUCAGAUUGCUCAGUUGUGUCUGAUUCUUUGUGAUCCCAUGGAUAGCAGCACCACGCCAGUCUUCCCUAUCCUUCGCUAUCUCCCAGAGUUUGCUCAAACUCAAGUCCAUUGAGUCGAUAAUGCUGUCUAAUCAUCUUAUCCACUCACUACCUUCUCCUCCUGCCCUCAAUCUUUCCCAGCAUCAGAGUUUUAACAUAUUGUGUAUUGGGUACUGUCUUAUGUGCUGAGGAUGUGAAGACCUUGACCUCUGCCUUCAACUAGCUUACAGUAAAGAUGGAUGGGAAUGAAUUAGCUAUGAUAAUGUACAAUUCAGUAGAAGCAUGUAUGGAACACAGAGAUUACACAUAAGAGGGACUGAUUAGAGGGACUGACUAACUCUACUGAGGGCUCAGGGAAAGCUGAAAGUAUGGGGGUAAAAUAUGGCUUGGGUUUUAAAGGAUGGAUAGGAGUUCACUCAUGAUAAAUAGUGGGGUAGGACAUUCCAGAAAAAGGGAAAAGCAUGUGUAAAGGCCUGGAAGGAAGAGAAUUAUUAGACAUGGGUGAAGAUGCUUUACUGUUGCCUUUGUGUAAGUAAGAUGGUAGGAACUGUCAGUAGAUAAGAAGACUGAGGCCCUAAAUAAAUGGGCACUGUAUGAUAUAUUAUUAAGGAAAACAAACAUUUACUGAACACUUACAUUAUCCUAGAUUUUCUUUUACGUACCUAGAUAAUCUCGCUUAAUACACACAGCAACCUCUGAAGUAGGUACUAGCACUAUUUUCAUUUUAUAGUCAAGAAAACAAAGGCUCAGAACAGUAAAGUGACUUGUCAGAGGCCACACAGAAAUGAACUGAUGGUAACUUGAAAAAGUGUUAAUAAUAAAGACUGAGAGAAAUAAAUGGAUUUGAGAAGUAUUUAGGUGGCAAAAUCAACAGAACUUAAUGAUCAGUUGGAUAUAGAAGAAUGUGGAGGAGGACAAGAAAGGAUUUGAGGAUGAUUUCUAGAUUCUUGUCACUUGUAAUGAGAAGGCUAGUCAUGACAUUCAGAGAGUACUAGAGGUCCUGGGAGAAAGAAUGUGAAUUAUUUAACAAUGUGUGCCUGUAAGAUACAUAAAUAGAGAUUUAAAAGCAGAAAUGAAAGCCCAUUUGUCAUUCAUCUCCUAACGCUUCAUAGCUUAAGAGAACAUUUAAUUGCUUUGGGAUUCUGUGAGUUGGCAGGCUGGGCUGGGCCAGGUUGUUCUGGUCUUGGUGAGCUGGGUGGCUCUGUUCCUGGCGGGCAGCUGGCCCUGAGUCUCGUCCCCAGGUAACCCAGGGUGUUCUCAUGGGGGCCAGGCGAUGUUCUAAAGGAGCAAAUAGAAACAAGCAAUGUCUGGAGACCUGGACCCAGCACUGGAACGCUCUUCUUCUGCCGUGGUCUUCUUGGGCAUGCAAAUCACAAGCCACCCCAGAUCCGAAGGCUGCAGAGGCAGACCCUGACUUGUGAUGGGAGAAGCUGCAGGUCACAACUGGAAAUGAGCCUGGGUACCGGCAGAUGUGACAGUUGGGUCUGUUGCUGCAGGCGUUCGGCCAUAAAUGUGUCCUCCAGGGAAGCAGGUUGACUUCAUGGUCUCAGAUUGCAUCUCCACUCCUCCACCUUCAGCUUUCACUCUUGUCUUGCUCAUCCUUGUGUAACAAGCGUUAUCCUGUUGUCUGUUGCGGAGGCUGCCACUGCUGGCUGCUGUGAAUACAGAAGUGAAUGAAGCAUACUCCCAGCUUAACUUGAGCUUAAAGAAAGUUGUGGUUCUUUUAGUGGUGAAGUUACUGCACACGUCCCCAACCCUGCGUGGUGUUCUUUAUCUGACAUCCUCCUGCUAUAAUGACUGCUGAAGCCUCAGCCCUCUGGGACAGAGGCUGCUUCCUGUAGGUGUGCAGGAAGUGUGUCACCCACCAGUGGGACGGGCUAUUUCUGAACACGCUUCAGAGAGAAAGCACGUUUCCCUGUAAGCACAGCCAUAUGCCACAUCUUGAAUGUUAGAAUUUAGCCACCGCUGAAUCAUCUAGAGAUGAAAUAAAGGUUAUGAGUGUUUUUUAAAGUAGAAAUAAAGGCCUUUCAGCUCUAUUUUUAUAACUUCCUUCUGAUUAUAAAAGAAAUAGGAGUAUCUAUUGUAACAAAUUAGAAAAUCUGAAAUGUAUGAUGAAGGAAAUAAAAAUCACCUAUUGCUCAUGAAUGGUUAUAUCAACAUGCACGUGCAUUAAUUUUGU
ensembl:lncRNA